AACGAACGCUGGCGGCAUGCCUAACACAUGCAAGUCGAACGAGACCUUCGGGUCUAGUGGCGCACGGGUGCGUAACGCGUGGGAACCUGCCCUUAGGUUCGGAAUAACUCCCCGAAAGGGGUGCUAAUACCGGAUAAUGUCUUCGGACCAAAGAUUUAUCGCCUUUGGAUGGGCCCGCGUUGGAUUAGCUAGUUGGUAGGGUAAAAGCCUACCAAGGCGACGUUCCAUAGCUGGUCUGAGAGGAUGAUCUGCCACACUGGGACUGAGACACGGCCCAGACUCCGACGGGAGGCAGCGGUGGGGAAUAUUGGACGAGGGGGGAAAGCCUGAUACAGCAACGCCGGGGAAGUGAUGAAGGGCUUAGGGUUGUAAAGCUCUUUUACCCGGGAUGAUAAUGACAGUACCGGGAGAAUAAGCUCCGGCUAACUCCGUG
rnacentral:rRNA from 1 species